CUUGACAUCAUUAAUCAUCACAUAAAUGCAAAUCAAAACCACAAUGAGAUAGCACCUAUGGCCAUUCCCUGGGAAUUUAGAAUUAUUACUAAAAGAUUUCAGUUUCAAUAUGUGCUUACCUUUUGAAGAAAGAAUCUGUAAAUGCCUGGAAAUGUCAUCAUAUAAUUUUAAAAACAGAGAAAGUCAGUCCAUGGAGUCAGAGAAGAAUGAAGCAGAUGGUGAGAGAGAAGCAAAAAUAAAUAAUGAGUGUUCAGAAAUAUCAAAUAUGAGCUGAAUAAGUAGUGGAAAGACAAGGAUUCAUCCGUUCCACAGACUACAAACCUGGCCGAUAGAGGGAAUAUUUCAUUUUAGAUCAAAUGAUUCACUGUCAUCUUUGUCUGAUAUUACAACAUAGUGACCACACAACUAUCCUCAAUGGUAUUUGACUACAUGGAUUCUGUAAAAAGAUGAAGCUUAAGAACACUAUUUUUUUUCAAGUGCAAUAUACUGUAGUCAUAAGAUGAAUGGGGUCUUGUCCAUAUAUCUACAUGAAAUUUAGAUAAAGCAAGCAAUGUGAAGAACACAUAAUCUCACAUUUUGCAUGUCACACUAUAAAUUCUAUACCAGGUUGUACUUCAUUUUUGCCCUGUUUUUCUCUACCAAAGGGAAACAAAUGAGGAGAGUUCACCAUAUUUGUUUAUUUAUUUAACAUUUGAAAAUCAUAAUCACAGAGUUGAACUUCAUAUUCCUUGGUGUGCUUCAUGUAGCACACCCAAGAUAUAGGUGAGUGGUGGCUUUUUUAUAGGAGAAAUUACAAAGCUUUUUUUCCUACAUCUGAAAACUCACAUCUGAAGUUUUAAAAUGUGUACCUCUCUAAAAGAUACAAUUGCUUUGUCCUCACCUGUGUGAUGAGGUUAGAUGUUGCCAUUCUGUGAAAAGCAAAACCUCAUACCAGAUGUAUUUUGAAUGAAUCCUUGAUUCACAAUGGAAGUUGCUCACAGCUAAAAUGAAAUAUGUGUUGCCUUCUCUCUAGUUUGUUUUCUCAGAUUUCUAAACACAAAGACAAAAAAGGACAGAAAACACUUUGUAUUUGCUAUAACCUUGAGAAUCAGUCCUAAGAGUUAGAUGUCAAAUUGUUGAAUUACUUGCUCUUAUUAUCCUCUAACUAUUCCAUAUUCUUUUAAUUGACUCAGUGUUGUAAAGAUAAACGCCUUGGGUUACGCAUAACACAGAACACAGCACAACAUAAUGCAAUUUCAUAAAGGAUCUUCUGUAAUUGCUUAUCACACGUGGCUGUGCAUGACAGAUAGAAACAAUAAAAGAACAAAUGGAAAAUAUUAGGCCAAACCUUAUUACUGAGAUAAUAUUUGAAACAAUCUUGAAAUACUUUUUGAUACACAUUGUCCAUAUGUAAGCCUUGUGAAUGAUUGCAGUUUCUCAAAUCUAUCUGGUUGUAUAUUGGAAAUGGUGGGGAGCAACUAGUAAAGGGGCUAACUUUGCAAAUAAGAAUUCUGAGUGUUACAAGAAGACAAGCAACUGAUUUAAAAUAAAAGUUGGUAUUCAAGGAAUAAGAGUUCAUUAUAUUGUCAGUAGCCCCAUCAUUGAUUAAAAACAGCGAAGUAUCAAUGUUGACUCUGUGUUUAAUAUGAGGCAUGACAAAAUUUUCCUCAUGAAAGGGAUGCUGACCUUUCAAAUCCAAGCAAGUACACAGAUAACUUAAUAUCAUUUUGCUAUAACAAAAGUUUAAGAAGAGAAGUGAUAAAAUAUUCAUUUAGUUUGAUUUGAGAACCUGAAGUUUUCAGUUAUUAACUUAUCAAUUAAGUGUUUUAUCUAAAAUAAUCUCAUAAAAACCUGGGAAUAUUUUAUUGAUGUUUAUUAUUUCUCUCAUUACAUGUCAACUUCUGAGGAUUUCCUGUCUUCAGAAAUCAUGUGAGGCAUCUUAGUGAUGACAUAAUUGAUGUCUUUGAGUUGACAAAUGAUAAAAGUGGGGCAGGAAAGUAAAAUGACUUACAUGAAACUGAUAUAAGAUGAAUUCAUGACAGCAUCUGUAUAGAACCAAGGGUAUUGUCCUUUCUCGAGGUCUUCAAAUGUUUCAUAAAGAUUAAAAGUUCUGAGGGCAUGCCUGCAGGGAGUAGAGGGACAUGAUUUGAAUAAGAUUUCCAUGAGUUUAAAAUUUCCUCCAUAUUUCUAUUUGUAAACAUACAAACUUAUGAACACUUUAUGGUCUAAUUAGUCAUGUUCAUUUCUCAAUAAAAUUUAUUUUUAAAUUCCCUUGAAGGACGCUCACACAUACAUAGUAUUUUCUGUUUUAUUAUCUAGGUGGUCUGGCAAUUAAAUUAUUUAUAUCAGAACACUGAGUUAAACUGAAAAGAGAUGACACUGAAUUUCAAUUUCAUAUUUGGGGGAAUGCAUCUCCUCUUGCUCAUAACAUUUCAAAAUUAAGACAUACAUAAGCAUAUAGUAUCGCACAAUUGUUUUUCACUGCUUUAUAUAUUAUGUCAGUGUAAUUUUUAAUUAAAAAUGAGCAGAAUACUACCACCACACAGAUUAUUGUUAAGCUAUACAGUUGGUGGAAAUUCAAUAAAUAUAUUUGAUAAGAAAAUAAAUGAUUUGCAUCGUAUGAACAUUCAAAAUGGUAAGUGAUAAUUUUUUCAAUUUUAUUUUUUCAGAAGAACAUGCAACAAAGGAUUAUUCAAUCACAAAAACUAUGUUCUUUACUUCAUUGUAAUUUAAACAUGUGGAUAAACUCAGUUACAAAAACUUAUUGAUUAGAUACUAUAUUCUUAAAGACUAUUUUUUAUAGCAGCUUUGUGUUCACAGUAAAAUCGAGGGGAAGGUACAAAAAUUUCUUAUUAUACCCCUUGCUCCCACACACACAUAGACUCUCCUAUUACCAACAUCCUUCACCAGACAGGCACAUUUGUUACAAAUGGUGAAAGCACAAUGACAAAUCACUAUCACUCAAGGCGCAUCAUUUACAUUAGGGCUCACUCUUUUUUUGUUUGUUGUUUUUCCGUUUUUGUUUUUGUUUCUGUUUUUGAGGUGGAGUCUAACUCUGUCACCCAGGCUGGAAUGCAGUGGUGCCAUCUCAGCUCACUGCAACCUCUGCCUCCCGGGUUCAAGUGACUCUCCUGCCUCAGCCUCCCAAGUAGCUGGGAUUACAGGCAUGCUCUACCACACCUGGCUAAUUUUUGUAUUUUUAGUAAAGAUGGGGAUUCACCAUGUUGGCCAGGCUGGUUUCAAACUCCUGACCUCAAGUGAUCUGCCCGCCUCAGUCUCCCAUGGUGCUGGGAUUACAAUUAUGAGCCAUAAUGUCCUGCCAGGGCUCACUCUUGGUGUUAAACAUUGUAUGGAUUUUGACAAAUAUAUAGUAACACUUAUCCACCAUUAUAAUACCACACAGAGGAGCUUCACUGCCCUAAAAAUUCCCUAUGCUCUAUUUAUUUAACCCUCCCUUUCUUCCAACCUCUGUUCAUUUUACUAUCUCCAUAGUUUUGCUUUUCCCAGAAUGUCAUAUAAUUGGAAUCACAGUAAAUAUGCAGCUUUUCAAAUUGACUUCCAUCAUUAGUUGUAUGAAUUUAUUAAUAAGAUUCUUCUAUGUUUUUCAUGGCUUAUUAGCUCCCUUCUAUUAAAUAUUUGAUAAUAUUUUACUUUCUGGAUGUACCAUAGUUUAUUUAUCCAUUCAGCUACUGAAGGACAUCUUGUUUGCUUCCAAGUUUUGGCAAUUACUAAUAAAGCUACUAUAAAUAUUUG
rnacentral:lncRNA from 1 species